GAUGGGGUUGGCCUAGUGGUCAAGACAUAAGAUUUAAGCUCUUAAGGUCUCAGGUUCGAGACCGAUCUUAAAUGCCAUCA